GCCAGGGUGGCGGAAUUGGUAGACGCAGCGGACUCAAAAUCCGCCGGUAGCAAUACUGUAAGGGUUCGAGUCCCUUCCCUGGUACCA
rnacentral:tRNA from 1 species